AACGAACCGGAAUAAAAUAAGUAUUGUCGAUUGCCUUUAUAUUAAAUUUAAUGGACUAUACAUAAGUAAUGCACAUGUUAAAUGUUAUAAGGACGUAGACCGCUUGUAUAUCGUUAAAUACAUUGCGCGCGUUUAUUAAAAAUUUCAAAACACGUAGCGCCUCGCCGUUUGAACAAUGGUUUUUGUUCGUUAAGUCGUUCACCAAAAGUUUUUAGGUGUAUAAUGAAUUUCGAAA